ACCACAAUGAAAAUAUGUUUAUAAACAUGCACAUACAUUGAACGCAAGUUGACAAACAAAUUAACCUAGAGGAAGCAUAGUUUUGACCAUCUUAACAAUCAUCUAGAACACACAAGUCACAAAAAGAUAAGGACUAUUGGUUACUAUGAGAGACUUCAGAUGGUCUAGAAAACAUAAGUUUGUAUCUACAUGCACAAAGUGCAAGCUCGAAAACACUCGAAACACCAAAUGGUCUACAAGACAAUAAGGUCCAUGAUUACAGGUUG
rnacentral:lncRNA from 1 species